CCGCCACGUGUGAAGUGCAGCAAGCAGGAUGAAAACCACUGCACGGUUUUCUGUUGCAGUACAUCAUUUAUAAUAACGAAAGUCCCUUAUAACAACCAGUUGGGAUAACAAUCGAUCAUGGGAGAGAAUGACAACAACCAAAUCUGUUCUGAAUCUUCUGCCAAUCAAUGUCAUUGAGUGACCUCCCAAGUUCCAAUCUCUUAGCCUGCAAGUCUACAUCUCUCUAUAAACAUGGAAUUUCAAUUAGCUAGACGUUUCUCUCUCUCUUCCCCCACUUUUUUGCAGUUCAUUGAUCAAUCAGAAAAUAACACACUGCAGUACCCCAACGUUAUUAUUAAAUGACCUGUAUUUAAAUUUGUGCUAGGAACACAUGUUAUCAUGGAAAACAAAUGCUAAUAAUAAAGUGUUCACUUAUGCUCA